rnacentral:ncRNA from 1 species
GGGGAAGAAAAAGGAACUUUGGUAGUGAAAAAAAAAGAAAAAAAACAUUCUCAAUUUGAGAAAAGCCGUACCUACACUGAUGUAUUCAACGAGCUUAUAGCCUUGGCCGACAGGCCCGGGUAAUCUUUGAAAUUUCAUCGUGAUGGGGAUAGAUCAUUGCAAUUUUUGGUCCUCAACGAGGAACUCCUAGUAAGCGCGAGUCAUCAGCUCACGUUGACUACGUCCCUGCCCUUUGCACACACCGCCCGUCGCUCCUACCGAUUGAAUGAUCCGGUGAAAUGUUUGAAUCACAGCGACGUGGGAGGUUCGCUGCCCGCAACGUCGCGAGAAGUCCAUUGAACCUUAUCAUUUAGAGGAAGGAGAAGUCGUAACAAGGUUUCCGUAGGUGAACCUGCGGAAG